rnacentral:guide_RNA from 1 species
AUAAAACAUAAAAAUCGAGUAAAUUACGUGAGAGAUUGUGAUAUAAAUUA